AAGGAUUAUUUUAUUUAAAAAAAGUAAAAUUUAAAUAAAAAGAAUUAUUAUUUUAGUACUUUUAUUAAAAAUAAAUUUUAUAAUGAUAGCUUAUUGUACUGUAAAGGAUUAUUUUAUUUGAGAUAAAAGAAUUUUUGUUUAAGGUACCUUUUGUAUCAGGGUCAAUUAAAAAUUUAUAAUUAUUUAUGUUUCCCGAAAUGAAGUGAUCUAUAAAAUUAUGGAGCUUGUAAUUUCAAAUAUAUUUGGAAUAAUUUUAUAGGGAUUAUAUAUUUUUCAAACUUCAUAUAUCUGGUUUAUUGAGAAUCGAAUUAAAUUCGAUUGGCAUUUAUUGUUUGAAAUUAUUUAAUUUUAAUGCUAAAAAAGUUGGUUGGGGAUAAGCUCAAUUAUUAUUUUAUAAUUUGUUUGAUGAGAUUUAUAUUUUCUAGGCUUGAAAGCAGCCGUGAAUUAAUUCGUUAUUGAAAAUUAUCUUUUGUAAUUUUUAUUUCUUUAUAUUUAAUUUUAUAUCAAUAUUAUUUAAAUAAUUUAUAAUUAAAUGUAAUAAUGAUUGAAUUAGUAAUAAAGCUAUUUAUAAUACAGGAAUUCGGCAAAUUUAACUUUCACCUGUUUAUCAAAAACAUGUCCUUUUGUUUUUAUUUAAGGUCUGACCUGCCCAAUGAUUUAUGAAUGGCCGCGGUAUUUUAACCGUGCAAAGGUAGCAUAAUCAUUUGUCUUUUAAUUGAAGGCUAGAAUGAAUGGUUGCAUGAAAGGUUAACUUUCUUUAUUAUAAUUUUUGAAUUUUACUUUCCUGUAAAAAGGCAGGAUUGAGUUUAAGGGACGAGAAGACCCUAUAGAAUUUUAUUCCUUUUUUUUGAGGAUUAAUUUUUGGUUUAUUUUACUUAAUCCUCAAAAAAAAUGGUAUUAAGUUGGGGUGACUUAAAUAUUUCAUUAACUUUUUAUAUCUAUUUAUCGUGAAUUAGCGUAAUUAUUUGAUCCAUUAAAUAAUGAUAAGAAGAUUAAAUUACCUUAGGGAUAACAGCGUAAUUUCUUUGGAGAGUUCUUAUCGAUAAAGGAGUUUGCGACCUCGAUGUUGGAUUAAAAUUAGUUUUAGGCGUAGCCGUUUAAUAUCUAGGUCUGUUCGACCUUUAAUUUUUUACAUGAUCUGAGUUCAGACCGGCGUGAGCCAGGUCGGUUUCUAUCUUUAUAUUUUAAAUUCUUAGUACGAGAGGACCAGUUUUUGUAAUUAAAUUAUGAUUUUUUGAAUUAAAUUA
rnacentral:rRNA from 1 species